rnacentral:rRNA from 1 species
CAGUAGCCACGGUAAUGCAGAGGGUGCGAGCGUUAAUCGGAUUUACUGGGCGUAAAGCGUGCGUAGGCGGUUGUGUAAGACAGGUGUGAAAUCCCCGGGCUUAACCUGGGAACUGCGCUUGUGACUGCACAGCUAGAGUAUGGCAGAGGGGGGUGGAAUUCCACGUGUAGCAGUGAAAUGCGUAGAGAUGUGGAGGAACACCGAUGGCGAAGGCAGCCCCCUGGGCCAAUACUGACGCUCAUGCACGAAAGCGUGGGGAGCAAACAGGAUUAGAUACCCCCGUAGUCCCUGUCUCUUAUAC